CAAUAGAUUCAUACAACUGAUCUCUAGCUGAAUCACCCUAGUUACAAGGAGCAACCUGUAUUUUGGCUGAGGUUGUCCCUGGGGCAGUGGCAGUCUCUCUUGCCAUAUUCUCCUAUGUCCCACACACAGGCUCUGCGUAAGACUCAAAGGAGCACAGGAACUGUUUGGCUAUGGCCUUUUAGGACUGCAAACCUGUUUCAUACUCCUGUUACCGUAUCUCUUUCCUUCUGA
rnacentral:lncRNA from 1 species